rnacentral:rRNA from 1 species
GUGAGGUAAUGGCUCACCAAGGCUUCGACGGGUAGCUGGUCUGAGAGGAUGAUCAGCCACACUGGGACUGAGACACGGCCCAGACUCCUACGGGAGGCAGCAGUGGGGAAUCUUGCACAAUGGGCGAAAGCCUGAUGCAGCAACGCCGCGUGCGGGAAGAAUGCCUUAGGGUUGUAAACCGCUUUCAGCAGGGAAGAAAAUGACGGUACCUGUAGAAGAAGGUGCGGCCAACUACGUGCCAGCAGCCGCGGUGACACGUAGGCACCAAGCGUUGUCCGGAUUUAUUGGGCGUAAAGAGCUCGUAGGCGGUUCGGUAAGUCAGGUGUGAAAACUCUGGGCUCAACCCAGAGCUGCCACUUGAUACUGCUGUGACUAGAGUGUGGUAGGGGAGCGGGGAAUUCCUGGUGUAGCGGUGAAAUGCGCAGAUAUCAGGAGGAACACCAGUGGCGAAGGCGCCGCUCUGGGCCAUUACUGACGCUGAGGAGCGAAAGCGUGGGUAGCAAACAGGAUUAGAUACCCUGGUAGUCCACGCCGUAAACGUUGGGCACUAGGUGUGGGUCUCAACCAACGAGAUCCGCGCCGUCGCUAACGCAUUAAGUG